CUUUACGCAAGGCAAAAAGCAUUUCAUGGGACACUGAUUGAAAACCAUGUUGAAAACGUAUCGUUGGAAACUCAACACGGCGUACUUUUCUUUCCUACAUUUUUCUUCGAAAAAAUGUUAUUUAUGUGGUAACAAAGGCACAAAGCCUCUAAUUUCUACUUGGCAAUUUCAUCUCAUCAUGUGGCCUGAGCAGCUGAACAUUUUGCCAAAAUGUCUUCUCUUUCUUCGUUCUACUUUCUAACUGAUUAACACCCUGGUGGAGUUUGAGCUUCUUUGUUGCUGCCCAACAUACACAUGGAUUUGACGCAGCCAGCUGAUAAAGGGUGUUCCUCUUGCUACCUGAUGUCUGUCUUAGCUUUACCUUCUUCUUCGUUCCAGUCUAAUUCACACAUGGAUUACUUCAGCCAGUCUGUUGAAUUUUACAUGUACAAUUUUCUUAAUGGUUUAGCGUUUCUGUUCGCGUAGUUGCUGUCCGAUGUGGCACGUUGUUGCAGCCUAUAUGCUGGUGAAAGAUCUUUCUACAACAAGUUCAAUUGGCCGUUCCUUGGUGUCGUGUUACAGAAGUUGCAUCAUUAUUUUGUUAAAUUGUCAUCGUGACUGCAGUUUAUGUUUAUAAGUUAAGAAGAACAAAAACAAAUAUGGGAUGUUCAUGUCAAACAAAUGAUAAACAUGUUUUUGGGGUUGGGAAAGGAAAGUGGAGGAUGUUGGUGGUGGGGGAGGAUAUUUAAAGUUUGGAUAAAAAACAGUUAUCUAUAACCCUACAAACAUAUCCCUACCAACUAAUCGGCAAACCCCACAAACUUAUAAGUUCCAAUUCUUUAAACCCCACAAACAUACUCCUACCAAUCUCUAAAUUUAUACCCUAAACCCCAUAAACCAAUGUCAAACCUUAACGAUGUAAUAUCUGUAAUAAAUAAAAAUAAAUAGGUCAUUUGUAAAA